rnacentral:tRNA from 1 species
GCCUGGGUGGCUCAGUCGGUUGGGCAUCUGACUUUGGCUCAGGUCACGAUCUCAUGGUUCAUGGGUUCGAGCCCCGUGUCGGGCU